GUGUAUUAUUGUAGGGCAACUAUCCUUAAAUUCAUAUCUACGAUUGUUGCUCUCUACAACGCAUACCAGAGUA